rfam:Aedes albopictus isolate Foshan contig144741, whole genome shotgun sequence.
UGCCCAGCAACUCCUAUCCCUACCUCCACGCGGUACCGGCCGGAAACUAUGAGCAACCUUAGGGAAGAUCGGGUAACCAACCCCGGUGGGAACUUUGAUCGUAGGCUGACAGGGAAGG